AUGAUUUUGCGGUUUGCACGUGUGGAUGGCCGUUGCCACCGGCUACACUUAGGCAGAGUUGAUUCGAGGCCACCGCACCCCUCCCGUGCAGUUCGUUCCGCGAAGACUCAGUGUAGUAUUUUCUUCAAGAGAAAUAACAAAAAAAGUUGCAGUCCAUUUUAUAGACCAGUGGUUCUGUUCGUGGAUGCUUUUAGUCCAGCACUGCAGUUUGUGGGCAUGCGGAUUCGACUAGAGAAAGCAUGCAGAUUGCCUACUGGAAAUUUUGAGAAUGCAUUUUAUAUGUGCAGCUCGGCCAGGUUAUGCAUGCAGUUUGUUGUUUACUUCAUCGGAGUAAAUUAA
rnacentral:rRNA from 1 species